rnacentral:lncRNA from 1 species
UUCUAGAUUCUAGAGAGAAGUAGGAGUUUCUCUCUCUAGAGUCCAUCAUAUCUAAAUUCGGCUGUCCCAAAAUACUAUCCGUAGCUCCGGUGCCGCAUGAUGCCGGAAAAUACAUAGAAUGCUGCCUGAAUCCGAAGAUUUUCGCCGGAAAAUAGAAAAUAUCUUCUGAUUUAGGAGGAACUAGGGUGGGAAGGCUCGGAAUAGCCUCGCGAAGAGGCUGUAUGAAGAAGAAGUAUUGAGGUCUGGUCGUAGAAAGCCUCACCCGUCGCCGUAAAAUAGUAAAAGUCGUCGGAAUUUGGAUGUUUUUGGACGGGAAGACUCGGAACAGCCUCGUGAUGAGGCUGUCUGAAGGAGAAAAAGUGAGAUCUAGCCGGGAUAUGCCUCACGCGCCGGCGCGUGGCUGAGAAGUCGUCGGAACUGGGCCGCGCGUGAGGGCGCGUGGGUGGUUGUACGCCGGAGAUUCUAGCUGGGUUUUGGUCGCGAUAGGCUUGUCUCUUGGAGGGUGGUGGUACAAUCCUAGGAUUCAUGAAAGAUAAAUGUCUUGGGGUAAGUGCCUUCCUCCAUAUCUGAUGUUUGGUUUUGGGACUUCCUUUUACAUGCUAACCUACACGUAUAUCUGAGCGAUUGAUUUGUAUUUGUUGUUUAGUUUGCAUAUCUCUGACACAUGGGCAGAGAGAAGAAUAUCAUAUGGCUUUUACCUUUUCCUUUAAACAUAAACCAUAUAACAUUCUAGCGUCAAGUGCCGACCCUUCUACUGUUUCUUUGUAACUGGAAUAUGGUUCAAGUAAUUUCAGCCUGUUUAUGGUAGAGCUCUCAACUUAAGUCAUCAUCCCUCCCACUUCUCCCUCAUAAUAUAAGGAUGAUCUGAGGUCAUUAAGCUCAAUUAUCCCCAACAAAAUCAUGAUGGGCAAAUUUCAGAAUCUACUCUUCCCAUCCUUUAGUGUUACUAACUAAAAUUUUCUUCUCUCAAGUUUCCACUGCCAGCUCUCUCCUCCCAUCUAUUAGUGUCACUGACUUGUAAUGGGACAUCGUUCAGAGGUUGACAAAUGCAUCGCCUUGAAAGGAGCUAGGAUUUACUGCUUUUCAGUAAUCCACUUGUGAAGUAGCUAUCAACUUGUUGGCUUGGCUAGGAUAUGUUGUGGAGUUCCAAAUAUCCAAAUGUUCUUACCGGAGAGACAAAGAUAUUUCAUCUUUGCUUCCGUACAAUUGCUAAUUUUACUAGUAAGAGUUUGCUGAUGCCUUUGGCUAUUGUCUCCUGCUUGACAGAGGGUUUGAAACCCUUGUUGAUUAUAACUGGACCCAAAAGUAUUAGGAGGGCUAGCAGAAGACGUCUUUGAAGACUUACCGACACAAGUACAAACAUCCUAGUUUGGAUGCACAUGUCCCUGAUGUGUUUGGUUCGAAAUCAUGAGAUAGUAACCAUCGACCGUACUCUCUGUUUGAUUUUUGCUAGGUGGUUUAUUUUGGGUCAGUAUAGUGAAGGUCCGAAGGCAUUCUGACCUGUUUGAUCUAUUACGCAGUUUUUAGUUUUAAUACUUGGCGAGCUUUUGCUCUAUGAAUUUGAGAUUUUUUUAAUUUAGGUCAAGGUGCAUGUGGAUUGUAGAUGCACUUGUGCUUAUGUGGCUUCAGCAAGUUUCCACAAUCCGAGCUGCAAAUAAAUUAUCUUACUACAUCUUCAUUGCAACUUGUAUCUUGUGCCAAAAUAAUGCGUAUAUUUUCCUGUUCAAGGCUUUCACCUUGUGAGGUUGGAAUUGCUAGAAUUUUCUAUAUAGGCAAGUGAUAAUGAGAAAAAUGAUGCAUUUAAGUUGUUUAUGAGCCAACUGUUCUUUACCUUUCCGUGUUAUCUUGAUUAUUUCUUUUUGGCAGGUGAUGGGGGACCUCCUCAGUCCAGCGUUGAUGCGGAAGCUGCGCAAUGAACCUUAUAGCUAAUGUUUGAGAACAUCAUCCAUCUGUUUGGGAUCGUUUCAAUUUUCUAUGUUCAUAGCUAUUAAAACAUUUGUUCUACUAUUUCUAGCAAGAACUGUAUAGAAAUUCUUGUGGUGUUAUGCUUCUAGUUUUAUUAGAAGUUUGGUAUUACUAACAUAAGUUUUACUUUACUAAGAAAAAUCAGAGAGAAUGUUGUGGUGUUCCUUCUAGGUUAUGUUCUGAAAUGACACUCAAUUAGAGCUGACCGAACCUUUUGAAGCUGGUGGUUGUUUCACUUUUGGUUGAUAUUGUGAUGGUAUAGUAUUUUGUUUUUGUUCUAACUGGUUUUCAAGAUUAAACCUUCUCGUUUAUUCAUCAUGUAUGUGAGUGCUAAGUUGAAAACACCUGGUAUUGAUCUUGGGAAAGGUUGGUGUUGCUUAGAGGUUACAGUGGUAAACUCCCUAACUUGAUUUCUUUAUAUUUUAAUGCACGUGUUCUCUGUUUCUGAUUAGGUCCUAUACUGAGGCAACACCUUCUGUGAUGAAAAGAAAAUGCCUAACUGUAACUGAGGAUGAUAAUGAUGAUGGAGAAGCAAGAAAAAUCCUCAAGAGCAUUGGAGAAUCUGACAUUUCAGUUGGAAGAUGAUGACUUCUGCUUCUUUUAAGAUAUGAAUACUGAACACCUAGAUACAAUUUUUUCAAUGAAAGGGAGUCCGCAAAUAUGUUUUGUCUUUGUUCGUGUCAAUGUAAAGGGAGAGGCAAAUACAUGCUUUGUCUUUGUUUGUAUUGUUGAACUAAAUCUUUACUUGUUUCUCAAUUGAAAUGAUUUUCUUUUAAGAUUUGAGUAGGGAACAUCGAGGUGCAGUUGUUUAAAUAUAAAGGGAGAGAUUUUAACUAAUUUGCAUUUUUUUAAAAUUUCAAUUUAUUAAUGU